rnacentral:sRNA from 1 species
AAACCCGUUGGAAUACUCGUGGUCUCAGUUCCUUCCCGUCCCGCCGCCCCGGCCCGACCCACUGCUAGGGCUGCCCAGGAGGAGGGAGGCAGGAGGGAGGCCGGGAAGUCCAGGUGGGCAGCUCUCGGCAGACCCUGGGCCUCUUUAACACGCCUCUUGUUUUCUCUUCCAGUCUCGGAAGGGUGCUGACCUGGACCGGGAGAAGAAGGCUGCCGAGUGCAAGGUGGACAGCAUCGGGAGCGGCCGCGCCAUCCCCAUCAAGCAGGGGAUCCUGCUGAAGCGGAGCGGCAAGUCCCUGAACAAGGAGUGGAAGAAGAAGUACGUGACACUCUGUGACAACGGGCUGCUCACCUAUCACCCCAGCCUGCAUGAUUACAUGCAGAACAUCCACGGCAAGGAGAUUGACCUGCUGCGGACAACGGUGAAAGUGCCAGGGAAGCGCCUGCCCCGAGCCACACCUGCCACAGCCCCUGGCACCAGCCCCCGUGCCAACGGGCUGUCCGUGGAGCGGAGUAACACACAGCUGGGUGGGGGCACAGGUGCCCCCCACUCGGCCAGCAGCACAUCCCUGCACUCUGAGCGCCCCCUCAGCAGCUCGGCCUGGGCUGGCCCGCGCCCUGAGGGGCUGCACCAGCGCUCCUGCUCCGUUUCCAGCGCCGACCAGUGGAGUGAGGCCACCACUU